rnacentral:rRNA from 1 species
GACGAACGCUGGCGGCGUGCCUAAUACAUGCAAGUAGAACGCUGAAGCUUGGUGCUUGCACCGAGCGGAUGAGUUGCGAACGGGUGAGUAACGCGUAGGUAACCUGCCUGGUAGCGGGGGAUAACUAUUGGAAACGAUAGCUAAUACCGCAUAAGAGUAGAUGUUGCAUGACAUUUGCUUAAAAGGUGCAAUUGCAUCACUACCAGAUGGACCUGCGUUGUAUUAGCUAGUUGGUGAGGUAACGGCUCACCAAGGCAACGAUACAUAGCCGACCUGAGAGGGUGAUCGGCCACACUGGGACUGAGACCCGGCCCAGACUCCUACGGGAGGCAGCAGUAGGGAAACUUCGGCAAUGGACGGAAGUCUGACCGAGCAACGCCGCGUGAGUGAAGAAGGUUUUCGGAUCGUAAAGCUCUGUUGUAAGAGAAGAACGAGUGUGAGAGUGGAAAGUUCACACUGUGACGGUAUCUGACCAGAAAGGGACGGCUAACUACGUG